AUUUGACGUUAGCUGCAGAAGAAGCACCGGCUAACUCCGUGCCAGCAGCCGCGGUAAUACGGAGGGUGCGAGCGUUAAUCGGAAUUACUGGGCGUAAAGCGCAUGCAGGUGGUUUGUUAAGUCAGAUGUGAAAGCCCGGGGCUCAACCUCGGAAUUGCAUUUGAAACUGGCAAACUAGAGUACUGUAGAGGGGGUAGAAUUUCAGGUGUAGCGGUGAAAUGCGUAGAGAUCUGAAGGAAUACCGGUGGCGAAGGCGGCCCCCCUGGACAGAUACUGACACUCAGAUGCGAAAGCGUCGGGGAGCAAACAGGAUUAGACUACCCUGGUAG
rnacentral:rRNA from 1 species